UACGUAGGGACCGAGCGUUGUCCGGAAUCACUGGGCGUAAAGGGCGCGUAGGCGGCUUUGCAAGCGUGCGGUGAAAGCUCGGGGCUUAACUCCGUGUCUGCCGUGCGAACUGUGAGGCUUGAGUCUGGUAGAGGUCGAUGGAAUUCCGGGUGUAGCGGUGGAAUGCGUAGAGAUCCGGAAGAACACCGGUGGCGAAGGCGGUCGACUGGGCCAGUACUGACGCUGAGGCGCGACAGCGUGGGGAGCAAACAGG
rnacentral:rRNA from 1 species